UGGGGAAUCGUCUAAUGGUAGGACAGAGGCCUUUGAAGCCUUUAAUCUAGGUCCGACUCCUAGUUCCCCAGCCA
rnacentral:tRNA from 2 species